GGCGCGGUAGCCAAAUUGGUAAGGCAGAUGACUGCAACUCUUCGAUUGUCGGUUCAAGUCCGAUUCGCGCCUCCA
rnacentral:tRNA from 1 species